rnacentral:rRNA from 1 species
AGCGAACGCUGGCGGCAGGCCUAACACAUGCAAGUCGAACGAAGUCUUCGGACUUAGUGGCGGACGGGUGAGUAACACGUGGGAACGUGCCCUUUGGUACGGAAUAACUCAGGGAAACUUGAGCUAAUACCGUACGUGCCCUUCGGGGGAAAGAUUUAUCGCCAUUGGAGCGGCCCGCGUCUGAUUAGCUAGUUGGUGAGGUAAAGGCUCACCAAGGCGACGAUCAGUAGCUGGUAUGAGAGGAUGAGCAGCCACAUUGGGACUGAGACACGGCGCAAACUCCUACGGGAGGCAGCAGUGGGGAAUCUUGCGCAAUGGGCGAAAGCCUGACGCAGCCAUGCCGCGUGAAUGAUGAAGGUCUUAGGAUUGUAAAAUUCUUUCACCGGGGACGAUAAUGACGGUACCCGGACAAGAAGCCCCGGCUAACUUCGUGCCAGCCGCCGCCGUAACAC